AAAAAGGUAAGCUAAUAAAGCUCCCAGGUUCAUACCCUGUUCAUGAAAGACGAUCUUUCCCUUUUUA
rnacentral:tRNA from 1 species